UACGGAGGGUGCAAGCGUUAUCCGGAUUCACUGGGUUUAAAGGGUGCGUAGGUGGGUCUGUAAGUCAGUGGUGAAAUCUCCGGGCUUAACCCGGAAACUGCCAUUGAUACUAUAGGUCUUGAAUAUCCUGGAGGUGAGCGGAAUAUGUCAUGUAGCGGUGAAAUGCUUAGAUAUGACAUAGAACACCAAUUGCGAAGGCAGCUCACUACGGGAUUAUUGACACUGAGGCACGAAAGCGUGGGGAUCAAACAGG
rnacentral:rRNA from 1 species